CACGUAGGGGGCGAGCGUUGUCCGGAUUUAUUGGGCGUAAAGAGCUCGUAGGCGGUUUCGUAAGUCGGAUGUGAAAACUCCAGGCUCAACUUGGAGACGCCAUUCGAUACUGCGAUGACUUGAGUCCGGUAGGGGAGUGUGGAAUUCCUGGUGUAGCGGUGAAAUGCGCAGAUAUCAGGAGGAACACCGGUGGCGAAGGCGGUGAGCUGGGCAGUUGCUGACACUGGAGGCGCGACAGCGUGGGGAGCAAACAGG
rnacentral:rRNA from 1 species